GACCGUUUUUUAACACAGGAACGGGGGGGGGGACACACACGACGCAGUGUGUGUGGGGGGGGUAAGAGUAGUCCUUAACGCUAUCCCCCCCACCUUCAAACUGGCCAAACUGCUAGACUUAUAAAUUUAGAAACUUAGAAAUUUAGACUUAUAAAUAUAGAUUUAUAAAUAAUAAAUAAAUAAGAUGGACCCUGCCCUAAUCACAGGUGUGUUAACAGUAUCAUCCAAACUCACCCAAAAUAAAUACUCUAACUUUCACUUUAUGUAGGGGAAAUACCUACAGAGAACAAAGUUUAAAAAGUUAAACUCAAGCCUACAAAGAAUAUGGCAUUCAACAGGAUUGAAAACUGCACAUGAGAGAAAAGAGGGAUGGUGCUACUUCAGUGCAGAAUAGGAUGCAAAGAAGUGACGAGGAUCUGCCAUGCAGGACACUGACUAUUGAGCUCACUGCAGUGAAUGGAACUGUAUCUGGAUCCAGAUCAGUUUCUCCAGAUGAACAGAAGGUCUGAAUGUUUUGCACCAAGUGAAACAUAGACACUAUGGCAUGCGCUUGUGAAGAAGGUAGAAAUGUGGGGUAGGGGUGAGGGCAGUCUACAUGCCAUAAAUUGGUCAGGAGAAGGGGAAAGUGGGUGAGUAGUGAUGUGCUUUUCUCCCUUUAGUGAUGGGAAGCCUUUGAGGGAGGACAAGGCCUCACUCAGAGCAAUUGCUGGGAGGGGGCUUUUCCUAAGAAGGAAAAACAUUAUUCUAGUAACAACUAAUCAGCCUGCUUUCCUUUCACUAUCUCUACAUCUGGACUAAAUUUGGUGCAAAUUGCGGUCUACACGUUACAUUUCUUGCGCCUCAAAUGUUCAUGUGUCUGUCAUCUUGGAUCGGGGUGGCUAUCAUCAUUACACACUGCACCAGGUGUCCCUGUGUGUCACUCACUACAGCUGUUCCAAAUUUGGUUCAAAUCGGUUAGAGAGUACUCAAGUUAGUACACUUGCACCUCAAAUGUUUAUGCAUCCGCCAUCUUGGAUUGAGAUGGGGGACAUCACCACAAACUAUACCAUUGGGGCAUCCCUAUAUGUCCAUUCAUGUGUAGCAAAUUUGGCUCAAAUCGGUUAGACUAUCCACAAGUUUGUGCACUUGUGCCUCAAAGGUUUAUGUGUCUGCCAUCUUGAAUUGGGAUAGAUGACAUCUUCACAAAUGACAACACUGAGGUGUCCCUAUGUGUCCCUACAGCUGCAGAAAAUUUGGUUCAAAUCAGUUGAGCGGUUCACAAGUUAGCCCACUUGAGCCUCAAAUGUUUAUGCGUCCGCCAUCUUGAAUCAGUGUGGAUGACAUCAUCACAAACUAUGCCAUGAUGUGUCCCUGUGUCUCACUCACUGCAGCUGUACCCAAUUUGAUUCAAAUGGGUUAGGCAAUCCACAAAUUAGGUGGCUUGUGCUUCAGAUGGUAACGUGGCCGCCAUUUUGAAAUGGAGUGGAUGACAUCAUCACACACCAUGCCAUUAAGGCAUCCCUACAUGUCCCUACAAUUGUAGCAAAUUUGGUUCAAAUCUGUUAGGCAGUUCACAAAUUAGCCCACUUGCACCUCAAAAGUUUACACAUCCGCCAUCUUGAACCAGUGUGGAUGACAUCAUCAUAAACUACACCGUUGAGGUGUCCCUAUGUGUCCCUAUAACUGUACCCGAUUUGGUUCAUAUUGGUCCAGGCAUUGCGAAAUUGAUAGGCGGGAAACACGGACAGACACAGACAGACAGACAGACAGACAGAAUGCUGGGUGAUCUCAUAAGCCUACUGGAAAGUAGGCUAAAAAGCCUGGAAAGUUCAAAUCAACAAGACUAAUCCAGAGGACUGGGUGGGGAUUUCUGGCUCAGCCAUCAGCAGAAGCUUGGGUCUGUUAGUUAGUCUGUCCCUGGAGGACCCUGAGGAAGCAGUGGGCUGAGCUACUGGGGAUAUGGGAAGGCCGCAGUCUGUAAGUAAUAAGUUAGGACCAAGUCAGUUAAGCGUGUCAGGGAAGUUAUCUUUCUUUACUGAUUGCUUGGAAUCUGCGUUGCCAGGUUAAUGAAAAUGCUUGCUUACAAUUCAGUGUUAUGAAAAAAGAUAACUGUUCUUAUUGCAUACCUUUUUCUUCUAAUUUGAUAAUAAAUCCUUGUUACUGAA